rnacentral:rRNA from 1 species
GGUCAAGCGACUAAGCGCACACGGUGGAUGCCUUGGCAGUUAGAGGCGAUGAAGGACGUUGGAGCCUGCGAAAAGCUCUGGUUAGGUGGCAACCAACCGUUAUUACCCAGAGAUGUCCGAAUGGGGGAACCCAGCCGCAUAAGCGGUUAUCCCACACUGAAUACAUAGGUGUGUGGAAGCGAACCCGGGGAACUGAAACAUCUAAGUACCCGGAGGAAAAGAAAUCAAACGAGAUUCCCCUAGUAGCGGCGAGCGAACGGGGAUUAGCCGAGCAACUUUAGCUAGUGGAACAGUCUGGAAAGUCUGGCGAUACAGGGUGAUAGCCCCGUACACGAAAGCGAUAGUUGACGUAUUAAGUAGGUCGGGACACGUGAUAUCCUGAUUGAAGAUAGGGGGACCAUCCUCUAAGGCUAAAUACUACUAACUGACCGAUAGUGAACCAGUACCGUGAGGGAAAGGCGAAAAGAACCCCGGAGAGGGGAGUGAAAUAGAUCCUGAAACCGUGUGCGUACAAGCAGUGGGAGCAGACUUGUUCUGUGACUGCGUACCUUUUGUAUAAUGGGUCAGCGACUUAAUGUCUGUAGCAAGGUUAACCGU